GCGGGUAUAGCAUAAUGGUAAUGCCCUAGCCUUCCAAGCUAGUCAUGCGAGUUCGAUUCUCGCUACCCGCU
rnacentral:tRNA from 1 species